CUCCAAGAAGCAGUCAUUUAAGGUGUCCAGAAAUUUUCAUCUUUGCUUUCCUGUCCUGAGGUGACACGUACCUGUGGACUUUGGUGUUGAAUAGAGAGCCCUUGAGAAAACCCCAAUGAUAGUUAGGUUGAUGAUAAUGGAGAUACCAAUUGAACCAACUGUUUCAGAAAGAGAGAGAAGUGGUGAGAAAGCUAAGAGCCAGUCGCGGCGUACAUUCAUGUCCAUAAAGAUGGCCUCCAUUUGGAAGUGUGUGCCCAUAAUCCCACACACAUGGAAAAGCUGAUGGCUGUGCCCUGCAACAGAGUCAAAUAUAUUUAACAAGAAACAUGUCUGGAUUUCAUUAAAAUACACCUCUAGCAGCUUAGCAAA